AUUGAACGCUGGCGGCAGGCCUAACACAUGCAAGUCGAGCGGUAGAGAGGUGCUUGCAUCUCUUGAGAGCGGCGGACGGGUGAGUAAUGCCUAGGAAUCUGCCUGGUGGUGGGGGAUAACGUUCGGAAACGGACGCUAAUACCGCAUACGUCCUACGGGAGAAAGCGGGGGAUCUUCGGACCUCGCGCCAUUAGAUGAGCCUAGGUCGGAUUAGCUAGUUGGUGAGGUAAUGGCUCACCAAGGCGACGAUCCGUAACUGGUCUGAGAGGAUGAUCAGUCACACUGGAACUGAGACACGGUCCAGACUCCUACGGGAGGCAGCAGUGGGGGAAUAUUGGACAAUGGCGAAAGCCUAAUCCAGCCAUGCCGCGUGUG
rnacentral:rRNA from 1 species